rnacentral:rRNA from 1 species
GACGAACGCUGGCGGCGUGCUUAACACAUGCAAGUCGAACGGAAAGGCCCUGCUUGCAGGGUACUCGAGUGGCGAACGGGUGAGUAACACGUGGGUUAUCUGCCCUGCACUUCGGGAUAAGCCUGGGAAACUGGGUCUAAUACCGGAUAGGAGCCAUUUUUAGUGUGAUGGUUGGAAAGUUUUUUCGGUGUAGGAUGAGCUCGCGUCCUAUCAGCUUGUUGGUGGGGUAAUGGCCUACCAAGGCGGCGACGGGUAGCCGGCCUGAGAGGGUGGACAGCCACAUUGGGACUGAGAUACGGCCCAGACUCCUACGGGAGGCAGCAGUGGGGAAUAUUGCACAAUGGGCGCAAGCCUGAUGCAGCGACGCCGCGUGGGGGAUGACGGCCUUCGGGUUGUAAACUCCUUUCGCUAGGGACGAAGCUUUUUGUGACGGUACCUAGAUAAGAAGCACCGGCUAACUACGUG